rnacentral:rRNA from 1 species
AUUGAACGCUGGCGGCAGGCCUAAUACAUGCAAGUCGAGCGAGCGGCGGACGGGGGAGUAAUGUCUGGGAACUGCCCGAUAGAGGGGGAUAACUACUGGAAACGGCAGCUAAUACCGCAUUAAAUCGGCUAACCCAUUGUGGAUUAGCUGGUAGGUGAGGGAAUGGCUGACAUAGGCGACGAUCCCUAGCUGGUCUGAGAGGAUGAUCAGCCACACUGGGACUGAGACACGGCCCAGACUCAUACGGAGGCAGCAGUAGGGAAUAUUGCGCAAUGGGCGCAAGCCUUAUGCAGCCAUGCCGCGUGAAUGAAGAAGGCUCUAGGGUUGUAAAGUACUUUCAGUCGAGAGGCGUUACCUACAGAGGAAGCCCCGGCUAACUCCGUGCCAGCAGCCGCGGUAAUAC